rnacentral:rRNA from 1 species
UACGGAGGGGGCUAGCGUUGUUCGGAAUUACUGGGCGUAAAGGGCGCGUAGGCGGCCAUUCAAGUUAGGUGUGAAAGCCCUGGGCUCAACCUAGGAAUUGCACUUGAUACUGUUUGGCUUGAGUUCGGGAGAGGUGAGUGGAAUUCCCAGUGUAGAGGUGAAAUUCGUAGAUAUUGGGAAGAACACCAGUGGCGAAGGCGGCUCACUGGACCGUAACUGACGCUGAGGCGCGAAAGCUAGGGGAGCAAACAGG